GCUACGGCCAUAUCAGCCUGGGUACGCCCGAUCUCGUCUGAUCUCGGAAGCUAAGCAUGGUCGGGCCUGGUUAGUACUUGGAUGGGAGACCGCCUGGGAAUACCAGGUGCUGUAAGCA
rnacentral:rRNA from 1 species